GUCUACGGCCAUGCCCAAUCUUGUCUGACAUGGGGGAGCAAGCAGGGUUGGCCUGCUUAGUACUUGGAUGGGAGACCACCUAGGAAGACCCGGUGCUGUAGAAA
rnacentral:rRNA from 1 species